rnacentral:misc_RNA from 1 species
GAUGAAGAACGUAGCGAAAUGCGAUAAGUAAUGUGAAUUGCAGAAUUCAGUGAAUCAUCGAAUCUUUGAACGCACAUUGCGCCCUCUGGUAUUCCGGGGGGCAUGCCUGUUCGAGCGUCAUUAUAACCACUCAAGCUCUCGCUUGGUAUUGGAUUUCGCGAUCUCGCGGCUCCUAAAAUCAGUGGCGGUGCCUGUCGGCUCUACGCGUAGUAAUACUCCUCGCGAUUGAGUCCGGUAGGUUUACUUGCCAGCAACCCCCAAUUUUUACAGGUUGACCUCGGAUCAGGUAGGGAUACCCGCUGAACUUAAGCAUAUCAAUAAGCGGAGGA